rnacentral:misc_RNA from 1 species
GAUGAAGAACGUAGCGAAAUGCGAUAAGUAAUGUGAAUUGCAGAAUUCAGUGAAUCAUCGAAUCUUUGAACGCACAUUGCGCCCAUUAGUAUUCUAGUGGGCAUGCCUGUUCGAGCGUCAUUAAGUCCACUUAAGCCCUGCUUAGUGUUGGGAGACUGCUCCUGCGGUGCUACCCUGUAGCUACCCUGCAGCUCCUCAAAGACAGCGGCGGAGUUGUGGUAUCCUCUGAGCUUAGUAACUUGUUCUAGCUUUCGAGUACACCACUUCCCCUGCCGUAAAACCCUUAAUUUUUAAUGGUUGACCUCGGAUCAGGUAGGAAUACCCGCUGAACUUAAGCAUAUCAAUAAGCGGAGGA